rnacentral:rRNA from 1 species
GUACUGUGCGAACGUUAUUCGGAAUCACUGGGCUUAAAGGGUGCGUAGGCGGCAAUUCAAGUCAGGUGUGAAAUGCCUGAGCUCAACUGAGGCAUUGCGCUUGAAACUGAACUGCUUGAGUAUCCCAGGGGUGUGCGGAACUGCCAGUGGAGCGGUGAAAUGUGUUGAUAUUGGCAGGAACACCGGAGGCGAAAGCGGCACACUGGGGGAUAACUGACGCUGAGGCACGAAAGCCAGGGGAGCGAACGGGAUUAGAUACCCCGGUAGUCCUGGCCGUAAACGAUGAGCACUGGGCGGGAGGGGGUUUCCCUUUUCUGCCGUAGCGAAAGCGUUAAGUGCUCCGCCUGGGGAGUAUGGUCGCAAGGCUG